AGCCUCGGGCGUCCGCGAAGCUGUGUCGGAGUCCGGAAGCGUCGGUGUGGCCACAGCCUGGGUCGCGAGGGCCAGUCGGCGUGCCGGCGGGCGUGUCCCCGCCGUAGUGGGCUUCACCCGGAGUGCACGCUUCCCGCCGCCGGGCCCAGCUGGUGCCCACGGCCGCCCCGCAGGACCGUGUUCAUGUGAACGUGGGAGAGCAGCAGUGACGAGAGGAGCCCAGCCAGGCCCGUUGCUGGUGGCAGGGGUCUGUUAAGGAAGAAAACAGAAAAACCCCAGACUGCAGAGCCAAUUUCCCCGCGUCCCCCUGCCCAUGUUCCUGGGAGUGUGCCCACAGUCUCUCGGCUAAAACAUCCUUUGGGACUUCAUCUCACAGAUGAGGCACGAGGCCCCUUGGGGUGGACUCCUGCCUGCCCCUGCUGCCCGUGGCCGAGCCCGGCAGUGGCCUCUGACAUACAGACGGCCCUUUGCUUGGCAAGCCCUCUCCAGCCUCCAAGCCUCAGCUCCCACAUCGCUUACCCACUCAGGUCCCUGUCGGGUGGCAGUUAGGACUCUCAGUGUUCAUGCCAUCCCUGAAAGGUGUGUGCUCUCCAGGGCCCCCAGCACGUGCAGGGAUGCUGCGUGUUUCUGUUUGUGGUUGGGGGUCUGCACAGCUGGCCUUCCUGUCUGUGUCUGCGUGUGGGUCAGCCCAGCUAGGCCUGCUGACCAAGAGAUCUGUAGUUGGAAGACAAGAGACGAGACAGCACCAGAAAGGAGAGGCAGUGUGGGGAGAUCUUUGAGAGUCUUCCUUAUUCACCAGAGUAAGUAGUAUGGACAAAA